rnacentral:rRNA from 1 species
AUUGAACGCUGGCGGCAGGCCUAACACAUGCAAGUCGAACGAGUGGCGGACGGGUGAGUAAUGUCUGGGAAACUGCCAGAUGGAGGGGGAUAACUACUGGAAACGGUAGCUAAUAGCGCAUACCAUAGGAUGUGCCCAGAUGGGAUUAGCAUGUUGGUGGGGUAACGGCUACCCAAGGCGACGAUCCAGAUCUGGUUUGAGAGGAUGACCAGCCACACGGGAACUGAUACACGGUCCAGACUCCUACGUGAGGCAGCAGUGGGGAAGAUUGCACAAUGGGCGCAAGCCUGAUGCAGCCAGGCCGCGGGUAGGAAGAAGGCCUUCGGGUUGUAAAGUACUGUCAGCUGGGAGGCGUUACCCGCAGAAGAAGCACCGGCUAACUCCGUGCCAGCCGCCGCGGUAAUAC